CCUACGGGUGGCAGCAGUGAGGAAUAUUGGUCAAUGGACGAGAUCCUGAACCAGCCAAGCCGCGUGCGGGAAGACGGCCCUAUGGGUUGUAAACCUCUUUUGUCGGAGGACAAAACCCGGUACGUGUCCCUGUCUGCGUGUAUCCUACGAAUAAGCAUCGGCUAACUCCGUGCCAGCAGCCGCGGUAAUACGGAGGAUGCGAGCGUUAUCCGGAUUUAUUGGGUUUAAAGGGUGCGUAGGCGGUAUGUUAAGUCAGCGGUAAAAUUUCGGGGCUAAACCCCGACAAGCCGUUUAUACUGGAGGACUAGAGAGGGGGAGAGGUAGGCGGAAUGUGUGGUGUAGCGGUGAAAUGCGUAGAGAUAAUGCAGAACACCGAUUGCGAAGGCAGCUUACCAGACUGUAACUGACGCUGAGGUACGAAAGCGUGGGUAGCAAACAGGAUUAGAUACCCGUGUAGUC
rnacentral:rRNA from 1 species